AAAUUGAAGAGUUUGAUCAUGGCUCAGAUUGAACGCUGGCGGCAGGCCUAACACAUGCAAGUCGAACGGUAACAGGAAGCAGCUUGCUGCUUUGCUGACGAGUGGCGGACGGGUGAGUAAUGUCUGGGAAACUGCCUGAUGGAGGGGGAUAACUACUGGAAACGGUAGCUAAUACCGCAUAACGUCGCAAGACCAAAGAGGGGGACCUUCGGGCCUCUUGCCAUCGGAUGUGCCCAGAUGGGAUUAGCUAGUAGGUGGGGUAACGGCUCACCUAGGCGACGAUCCCUAGCUGGUCUGAGAGGAUGACCAGCCACACUGGAACUGAGACACGGUCCAGACUCCUACGGGAGGCAGCAGUGGGGAAUAUUGCACAAUGGGCGCAAGCCUGAUGCAGCCAUGCCGCGUGUAUGAAGAAGGCCUUCGGGUUGUAAAGUACUUUCAGCGGGGAGGAAGGGAGUAAAGUUAAUACCUUU
rnacentral:rRNA from 1 species